rnacentral:rRNA from 1 species
CUACCCGGGUAUCUAAUCCUGUUCGCUCCCCACGCUUUCGCGUCUCAGCGUCAGUACCGUCCCAGAGUGCUGCCUUCGCCAUAGGUGUUCUUCCUGAUAUCUGCGCAUUUCACCGCUACACCAGGAAUUCCACACUCCUCUUCCGGACUCUAGCCACACGGUUUCCAUCGACGUCUCGAGGUUGAGCCUCGAGUUUUCACAACGGACCUGUGUGGCCGCCUACACGCUCUUUACGCCCAAUAAAUCCGGACAACGCUUGCCCCCUACGUAUUACCGCGGCUGCUGGCAC